rnacentral:tRNA from 1 species
GCCUUCGUGUUGUAGUGGUCAGCACGCUGGGCGCGUAUUCCAGAGGUCCGUAGUUCGAGUCCCGGCGAAGGCA